AUUUUUCAGUAUAUAACAGUCGCAGGACAGUAUCCCACAUGCAACCUAUAAAGUGGAUUUUGAAUAUGACAAUAACCCUUUCCAGUGGCUUCACACUCUCUUCCUCAUUUAGUGAAUGCAUUAUUUAAUUCAUCAUAAUAAAAAAGCAUAAUGGAAUCUGACAAAUUGAUAACCCCCCAAGAAACUGAAGGCGAUGAAGUGAAUCACGUUCCUGAUUCGAGCGUCGAAGAAGAGAGGCUAUACAGAUCUCAACGUAGAAAUAAUUUUCCAUCGUACUCUAAUGACGAUGUCAGCGUGAGAUUCAGGAGUACGACGAGUUACAAUGGAAAUAAUACUUUUGACAGCCUUAUCGAAAGUGUCUCAUACCGACAGUCUCAUAGGAUUAAUAAUGCUGAAUUUCAGCCUGGUGCUACAAAUUAUAUAUCUGCAAAUUAUGAGAGUCUGGAUUACGAUUUAUGUGAGAACCACUUGCUUCAAGAUGAAGAAAGAACGAAAGGCUACAAAUACGUGGUAAAAAAAAACUUCGCAAGAUGGUUUAUUUUCUUGUUGGUCGGUAUAUUGACCGCUCUAAUAGCCUGUUUUGUCGAUAUAUCGAUUGAAGAGCUGUCCGAUGUCAAGUAUGGAGCUCUAAAGUCAUAUGUGGAUAAUUGUGUGGAGGACAAAUGCUUGUGGCUUCCGUACGGCAUGUGGAUCAUAUUGAAUGUAGUUCCAUGCUUAAUUGGCGCCAUAUUAGUCACAUAUGCUGAACCAGUCGCCGCUGGCAGUGGGAUCCCCCAAGUAAAAUCUUAUCUCAAUGGUAUCAAAGUUCCCCGAGUUGUCAGAAUAAAAACGCUAACCGUGAAAAUACUCGGUGUUAUAUCAACCGUGGUUGGAGGACUUGCUGCUGGGAAGGAAGGCCCUAUGAUUCAUGCUGGAGCAGUUGUUGCAGCCGGCGUAUCUCAAGGAAAAAGUACGACUUUCAAGCAGGAUUUUAAAAUUUUUCAAUACUUCAGAGAAGAUCAUGAGAAGAGAGAUUUUGUCUCUGGAGGUGCAGCGGCUGGAGUGUCUGCUGCUUUUGGUGCUCCAAUCGGUGGAGUAUUAUUCAGUAUCGAAGAAGGAGCGAGUUUUUUCAACCAAAGCCUCACAUGGCGAACAUUAUUCGCCAGCAUGAUAUCCACCUUCACAUUAAACGUUGUCCUAAGUGCCUGGCACGGUCGCCUCGGAGAUCUUUCAUACCCCGGUCUUUUGAAUCUGGGACAAUUCGAGACUCUCCCCUACCAAAUCUAUGAAAUUCCUUUGUUUAUGAUGGUGGGCGCUGUUGGCGGACUCCUGGGGGCCUUAUGGAACCACCUAAACUAUAAACUUUACUGUAUCAGACUGAGAUACAUCAGAGCAAAGACGUGGAAAAUUGUUGAGGUUGUUUUUGCUGCGGUGAUAUCAGUGACAAUAGGUUUUUUCAUGAUUUACUUUAUCAACGACUGUAAGCCUUUGGGGCAGGAUCCCACAAAGUAUCCUGUCCAGAUGUUUUGUAAGGAGGGAGAGUACAAUGUUGUGGCAGCACUUUGGUUUCAAACACCUGAAAGCACUGUGAAAUCACUUUUUCAUGAUCCCAAAGGCUCCCACAACGACGGAACCCUAGCCAUUUUCGUGUUUCUAUAUUUUUUCCUGGCUGUCUUCACAUUUGGCCUAUCAAUGUCAGGUGGCCUCUUCAUCCCAUCUCUUCUCAUUGGGUCGGCCUGGGGUAGGCUCUUGGGAUCUGGACUAGCCAAAGCUAUUCCUACAUGUGUUCUCUUCGAACCAAAGAAAUACGCACUACUUGGUGCAGCUGCACAACUGGGCGGUGUCGUUAGAAUGACAAUAAGUCUCACAGCAAUUCUGAUUGAAGCAACACAAGGCAUCUCCUUCGGUCUUCCAGUGAUGAUCGUUCUCAUAACGGCCAAGUGGGUCGGCGAUUUCUUCAACGAAGGUAUCUAUGAUACAUACAUCCAAAUGGCAGGCGUGCCACUACUGCCAUGGGAAGCUCCUCCACUGUCGAAUAAUAUUUAUGUCAGCGAAAUUAUGAGUCAUCCUGUGGUAACACUCAAAACCACCGAAAAUGUCGGUCACAUUGUCGAGCUUCUCAAGUGUGUUAAAUUCAAUGGGUUCCCCGUUGUGGAUCCUCCCAGCACUGACCAGCAUGAAGUCCAUUGCUAUGGACGCUUUCGAGGCUUGAUCCUACGGUCACAACUCAUUGUUCUCCUGAAGAACAAAGUGUUCAACGAAUGUGACACCUGGGAAAGUCAUCUAAGUCUGAAAAUGUUUCGGAAUGAGUACCCCAGGUAUCCAGAAAUCGAUCAGAUCGCGGUUACAGAAAUGGAAAAAACAUAUUUCAUCGACUUGAGGCCUUUUAUGAAUCCUUCACCCUAUACUCUUCAGCAUUCAACAACACUCCCGAGAGCAUUUAGACUGUUCAGGGGACUAGGGCUCCGUCAUCUCCCAGUGGUCAAUGAUACGCAUGAGGUUGUUGGCAUGAUUACGAGAAAAGAUGUGGCGCGGUACAGGAUAUGGAAGCACCGUGGGAAAAUGGGACUGGAUGAACUUUUAAUAACAGACAAAAUAUAAUAAUAAAUAUAAUUUAUAUUUUUGAUUUCCUUAUUAUCGUCUGUACGAAGAACGAGUGUCAAGUCAAUGCAAAAAUGAACUCUUAUAAUUAAGGGAAAUCUAUUUGUAUAUUUUGCCCAGCCAAGACCACAGUCUGAAGAACAGGCAGACUGGCACUAUAACCAGGGAGAGGAGGAAAUAAUACUCGUAAUUGGACAGGUACAUUUCCCUUUCAAUAUUUUUUCAUCCAGGUAUCUGAAAUAAUCGAUAAA